rnacentral:lncRNA from 1 species
AUAAUCAUGCAUAAAAGUACUACGUAGACACCUAAAUUCUCACGAGAUUACAAAAUAGUGAGAAAAGUAAUAGAAAAAGAGCAUCGUAAAUAAAAUGAGGGAUAAAUAUUGAUAUGACUUAAACAAGUUAUUAUAUAUAAAAGAAAACAUAAUUCAAGAAUUAAAAAUGAAAAUAAUUUUAUCAUAAUCUAUAGGUUGAAAUUUGUAUUUCAUGAAAAACUUUAUUUAUUUUUUGUUUUAAAAUUCCGUAUUAUAGGCUAAGCUCAGAACCCUUCGAACACCCUAAAGACUCAUAAAAUACAAGUAGAAACCACCAUUAUGCAAUUACCAUGGUGCAUUGAUAAAUGCAUUUGCUAACUAACUUGCUACUAAGUGUUACAUGAGAUGUACCCAUAAAAUGUAUGCAUUACAUGACUAUCCCUACUAAUUUCAUCUAAUGUAAUGAAAUAUCAAUUAAUUUUACAUUAUUGAAUGUCUUUUAUCAUUAAUAAAAUAUAUUUUAGUUUAUAUAUGUUAUUUUAUAACACCCUUUUAUUUUUAAAGAAUACGUUUUCACUGCCAAUUGAAAGUUGCAAAGUACUACUACUUUUUUUACAUUAGUACUAUUAAUUUUUCUUACAUUAAGAAAGUUACAUUCAAUUAUACAAUAGAUAAUGGGACUGGUUAUUUGGACCUAAUUUUGAAAGAUUUGAGUGUAUUUAGUUAAGUUCAUAAAAACAAACAAAUCAAGAAAAACUAUAAAAUAUACUAUACAUCUUGUCAAUACUUAUAAACAACUUUUGAAUAUAAUUUAUUAUUGGAGAAACACAACGUCUCUAAAGAUUUAUAUAAUGUUACACUUUUUCUCUUAAAAAUUUACUUUAUAGAGACGAAUUAAGUAAAAAUUUCGUUUUAUUAUGAUAUCAAGAAGUUAGUAUCAGAUACCAUAUUUCAUUCCAAAUUCUAAUUCUAUUACUUAAGUACACAUAGACAACACUUGAAAUUAUUAGAAUAAGAUUCUAAAUAAUAACAUUUACAUUAUUGAUUCGUUAAUGUUAUUAUUUUGAAUAAGAUCCUAAAUCAUAAUAUUAACAAUGUUGAUUUGUUAGUUUCUUUAUGAUAAAGUUUAUUCACUUAAAUUGUAACGUAUAGAUAUUUAAGUUAUUUUAACUCUAAAAUUCUAAAAUAUAAUGUAUUGAUAUCAUAAUAUGUUGCUUUAAGAAAUGACCAUGAAAAUAGGAAAUAAAGAAAAUGACAUUUUAUAUAGACAGAGAUGGGUUAAAGUUAUGAGAAGCAAAACUGAUUGUAAAAAUAAAGUCGAGCUACUUUUAUUAGAAACAUGAAACCUAUUAGAUGGAUACUAGGCAAAAGAGUUGGGUUUGCUUUGAACAUUAUAGGAUGGGUUGAAACACUCCAAAUGCAUGUCUUUGAAUUAAAAUGACAUAUACAUAUUACUUAGCUACUUAAUGUAAUUGUUUAACAUAGUAGCCUUCUCAAGGUGACUAUGUUAUUACGCCAAAUCAACAUUGGUAGAACGAUUUACUUAUUUUAAACUUUUUUUAAAAAUUAAAUAUAUGUUUUAAACACUAAACCAAGAGAAUAUGCAGAUGACACGACUACAAAACAAACAAGCGAUGAAUGAAAUUCCAUUUUUGAUAAACCAUUUAACAUUCGUCGAAAUUUUUGUAUUCAAUCUCAUCCCAAAAAUUAAAAAAAAAAAUUGUCUCAUAAAGAUAAUAAGAAAUAUCAAUAAAUUUUAUGAACAUAUAGUAAUGAAGAUGAUAGUAAUCAUAUUGAUUAUAAUUUUUUAAUAGUUUUGAAACAAGGAUGUGAUUGUGUUUGUCCUUUUGUUCAUAUUUUUUUAAUAUUCAUCUUUGAAGGCUCAUAUUAAAAAUAUUUUAAAUUAUUUCCAUUAUAUUGUGAUCAUGCUAAAUAAUGAACUCUAUUACUAACCAAUAAAUGAUUUUUUUUUAAUAUGUCUUAUGACACUCGUUAUAGUUACAAAGAAAUUGCAAUAGUGAAUUCAUCUAUUUUAGAAUAAUUACAAAAAAAUAAUGCUGACAAAUAUUUUAAAAAACUAAACUAAAUAAUAAAAAACUUAAUGUAGAUACUUUAAAUUUUUUGCAAGUAAUUUCAUCCUGAAUAUUCUAAACAUUUCAAAGCUUACCAAAAAUAAUCAUGCAUAAAAGUACUACGUAGACACCUAAAUUCUCACGAGAUUACAAAAUAGUGAGAAAAGUAAUAGAAAAAGAGCAUCGUAAAUAAAAUGAGGGAUAAGUAUUGAUAUGACUUAAACAAGUUAUUAUAUAUAAAAGAAAACAUAAUUCAAGAAUUAAAAAUGAAAAUAAUUUUAUCAUAAUCUAUAGGUUGAAAUUUGUAUUUCAUGAAAAACUUUAUUUAUUUUUUGUUUUAAAAUUCCGUAUUAUAGGCUAAGCUCAGAACCCUUCGAACACCCUAAAGACUCAUAAAAUACAAGUAGAAACCACCAUUAUGCAAUUACCAUGGUGCAUUGAUAAAUGCAUUUGCUAACUAACUUGCUACUAAGUGUUACAUGAGAUGUACCCAUAAAAUGUAUGCAUUACAUGACUAUCCCUACUAAUUUCAUCUAAUGUAAUGAAAUAUCAAU